GACGAACGCUGGCGGCGUGCCUAAUACAUGCAAGUAGAACGCACAGGAUGCACCGUAGUUUACUACACCGUAUUCUGUGAGUUGCGAACGGGUGAGUAACGCGUAGGUAACCUGCCUGGUAGUGGGGGAUAACUAUUGGAAACGAUAGCUAAUACCGCAUAAGAACAUUUACUGCAUGGUAGAUGUUUAAAAGGUGCAAAAGCAUCACUACCAGAUGGACCUGCGUUGUAUUAGCUAGUUGGUGAGGUAACGGCUCACCAAGGCAACGAUACAUAGCCGACCUGAGAGGGUGAUCGGCCACACUGGGACUGAGACACGGCCCAGACUCCUACGGGAGGCAGCAGUAGGGAAUCUUCGGCAAUGGGGGGAACCCUGACCGAGCAACGCCGCGUGAGUGAAGAAGGUUUUCGGAUCGUAAAGCUCUGUUGUUAAGGAAGAACGUGUGUGAGAGUGGAAAGUCACACAGGACGUACUAACCA
rnacentral:rRNA from 1 species